GCCCGCCUGGCUCAAUCGGAUAGAGCGUCAGACUCUUAUACUGAUGGUCAAUGCAUGUGGUAAUCUGAAGGCUGCGAGUUUGACCCUCGCGGUGGGCG